rnacentral:rRNA from 1 species
GGGGAAUUUUGGACAAUGGGCGCAAGCCUGAUCCAGCAAUGCCGCGUGCAGGAUGAAGGCCUUCGGGUUGUAAACUGCUUUUGUACGGAACGAAAAGGCUCUGGUUAAUACCUGGGGUCCAUGACGGUACCGUAAGAAUAAGCACCGGCUAACUACGUGCCAGCAGCCGCGGUAAUACGUAGGGUGCAAGCGUUAAUCGGAAUUACUGGGCGUAAAGCGUGCGCAGGCGGUUUUGUAAGACAGAGGUGAAAUCCCCGGGCUCAACCUGGGAACUGCCUUUGUGACUGCAAGGCUGGAGUACGGCAGAGGGGGAUGGAAUUCCGCGUGUAGCAGUGAAAUGCGUAGAUAUGCGGAGGAACACCGAUGGCGAAGGCAAUCCCCUGGGCCUGUACUGACGCUCAUGCACGAAAGCGUGGGGAGCAAAC